GCGGAGCUCCGCCCCCUGAGCCCCGAAAGCCCCGCCCCCCGUGCGUCACUCGUGUACGCUCCGCCCCCCCGGCCCAACCACCACGCUGCAGUCGGGGGAGAACAGGAGGUACGGGCUGCUUGUCGCGGUGUGCUUGCAGGGGACAUUGGCUAGGAGACGAAAGCAAACAUGUCGUUAGAGGGAAAUGGAACCACACCGGAGCACAGUAGCCCUCAGACGUUCUGUCCUCCGUCCCUGUUUCUGAGAACAUAACUUAUGCGAGUGAUUUGGUCCAAGGGGCGGGGACCUGGGGGAGUCUCGGUUGCCACGGAAGCCGGGAGGCUGGAAGCCGCAGAGGGGCGGGGUCUGUCACUUGGCAGCGGGGGACGCUUCGGGCUGCGCGCGCACAAGAGCCAUCCAGCCGCCAGACUCCAAAGUUCAUCAGUACAGCAGAACUGAGUGAACUGAGCACCAUCUUACUGGCCAUGCAACCUUCAGCUUCAGGCUGCAAGCCUCAGCAUGUGGUCCUGAGAACCCUGCAGUUCCCGUGAAGUUAAAACAACUUUCCAUAGUACAAUCAGUGCCUUCUUGGCCUUUUUCACCUUCAGAAUCUCACAAGAGUAGUUUCCUGGAGGAAAACUUGUGUAUGAAGUUCCCUAGGAAGGUGCUGCUAUUCUACGGCCAUACCCCCCUGAACGUGCCCGAUCUCGUCAAAGUAAAGGAAGGUGCUGCUAUAUAAAA